AGCGAACGCUGGCGGCAGGCCUAACACAUGCAAGUCGAACGAACUCUUCGGAGUUAGUGGCGGACGGGUGAGUAACACGUGGGAACGUGCCUUUAGGUUCGGAAUAACUCAGGGAAACUUGUGCUAAUACCGAAUGUGCCCUUCGGGGGAAAGAUUUAUCGCCUUUAGAGCGGCCCGCGUCUGAUUAGCUAGUUGGUGAGGUAAUGGCUCACCAAGGCGACGAUCAGUAGCUGGUCUGAGAGGAUGAUCAGCCACAUUGGGACUGGGACACGGCCCAAACUCCUAUGGGAGGCAGCAGUGGGGAAUCUUGGGCAAUGGGCGAAAGCCUGACGCAGCCAUGCCGCGUGAAUGAUGAAGGUCUUAGGAUUGUAAAAUUCUUUUGUGCGGGAAGAUAAUGACGGUACCGCAAGAAUAAGCCCCGGCUAACUUCGUGCCAGCCGCCGCCGUAA
rnacentral:rRNA from 1 species